AGAGGAAUAGCUGGGUCAAAUGGUGGUUCCAUUCCCAAUUUUCCAAGAAAUCUCCAUACUGCUUUCCAUAUUGUCUGUGCCAAUUUGCAGCCCCAUCAGCAAU
rnacentral:pre_miRNA from 1 species